UACCUCGCCGGCUGGAAGGAUUUCCUUCCAGUCAACGAGGUACAUGUACCUUGUCGACCGGAAGCCGGCGAGGUACAUGCCUCGUCAACUGGAAGGAUUUCCUUCCAGCCGGCGAGGUA
rnacentral:miRNA from 1 species